rnacentral:sRNA from 1 species
AUCAUUACCGAGUUUACAACUCCCAAACCCACUGUGAACUUAUACCCAACACGUUGCCUCGGCGGGUUGUAACCCUCGUCGAUCUCCAGAGACAAAACCCCUCCCCAGGGGACGUGCUCAGGAGCUGAGGGAAGGGACGGCUUCUUUCCAAACACUACCCUCUUAAGGCGACGUCAUAAGGAAAAAAGGCUCCCGCCCGCCAGAGGACCCCAAAACUCUUCUGUAUUACCCAUAGCGGCAUGUCUGAGUGGAUUUCAAAACAAAAUGAAUCAAAACUUUCAACAACGGAUCUCUUGGUUCUGGCAUCGAUGAAGAACGCAGCGAAAUGCGAUACGUAAUGUGAAUUGCAGAAUUCAGUGAAUCAUCGAAUCUUUGAACGCACAUUGCGCCCGCCAGUAUUCUGGCGGGCAUGCCUGUUCGAGCGUCAUUUCAACCCUCAAGCCCUGCUUGGUGUUGGGGACCGGCUCAGCGGGGGUUGCGGGUUUCGGCCCGCCCCGUGCCGCCCCCGAAAUGGAUCGGCGGUCUCGUCGCAGCCUUCUUUGCGUAGUAACAUACCACCUCGCAACAGGAGCGCGGCGCGGCCACUGCCGUAAAACGCCCAACUUUUUUUUUUAGAGUUGACCUCGAAUCAGGUAGGAAUACCCGCUGAACUUAAGCAUAUCAAUAAGCGGAGGAAAAGAAACCAACAGGGAUUGCCCCAGUAACGGCGAGUGAAGCGGCAACAGCUCAAAUUUGAAAUCUGGCCCCUUGGGGCCCGAGUUGUAAUUUGCAGAGGAUACUUUUGGCGAGGCGCCUUCCGAGUUCCCUGGAACGGGACGCCAUAGAGGGUGAGAGCCCCGUCUGGUUGGAUGCCGAGCCUCUGUAAAGUUCCUUCGACGAGUCGAGUAGUUUGGGAAUGCUGCUCUAAAUGGGAGGUAUAUGUCUUCUAAAGCUAAAUAUUGGCCAGAGACCGAUAGCGCACAAGUAGAGUGAUCGAAAGAUGAAAAGCACUUUGGAAAGAGGGUUAAAAAGCACGUGAAAUUGUUGAAAGGGAAGCGCUUGUGACCAGACGUGGGCCUGUCGGAUCAUCUAGCGUUCUCGCUGGUGCACUCCGGCGGGCUCAGGCCAGCAUCAGCUCGUCCCGGGGGACAAAGGCAGCGGGAAUGUGGCUCCUUCGGGAGUGUUAUAGCCCGCUGUGUAAUGCCCUGGGGCGGGCUGAGGUUCGCGCAUCUGCAUGAUGCUGCAUACUCGC